rnacentral:rRNA from 1 species
AUUGAACGCUGGCGGCAUGCUUUACACAUGCAAGUCGAACGGUAACAGGGAGCUUGCUCCGCUGACGAGUGGCGAACGGGUGAGUAAUGCGUCGGAACGUGCCGAGUAGUGGGGGAUAACGCAGCGAAAGUUGUGCUAAUACCGCAUACGUACUGAGGUAGAAAGUGGGGGACCUUCGGGCCUCACGCUAUUCGAGCGGCCGACGUCUGAUUAGCUAGUAGGUGAGGUAAAGGCUCACCUAGGCGACGAUCAGUAGCGGGUCUGAGAGGAUGGUCCGCCAAAUGAGGAAGGAGACACGGCCCAGACUCCUACGGGAGGCAGCAGUGGGGAAUUUUGGACAAUGGGCGAAAGCCUGAUCCAGCCAUGCCGCGUGUCUGAAGAAGGCCUUCGGGUUGUAAAGGACUUUUGUCGGGGAGGAAAUCCCCAGCGCUAAUACCGCUGGGGGAUGACAGUACCUGAAGAAUAAGCACCGGCUAACUACGUGCCAGCAGCCGCCGUAAGAC